UACGUAGGGUGCAAGCGUUAAUCGGAAUUACUGGGCGUAAAGCGUGCGCAGGCGGUUGUGCAAGCCAGAUGUGAAAUCCCCGGGCUUAACCUGGGAACUGCAUUUGUGACUGCACGGCUAGAGUGCGGCAGAGGGGGAUGGAAUUCCGCGUGUAGCAGUGAAAUGCGUAGAUAUGCGGAGGAACACCGAUGGCGAAGGCAAUCCCCUGGGCCUGCACUGACGCUCAUGCACGAAAGCGUGGGGAGCAAACAGG
rnacentral:rRNA from 1 species